AGUGUCACACUGACACUGCACGCAGCAGUGUGCAUAAGCUGAGAGCACCUGUCACACUGCACUCCCAAUCCUGCCUCACACAGUCAACGCCGGCGUGUCUUUAAACAAAGUCUCUAUCUUUUUUUUUCUUCUUGUCUGUCUCCCUUACAUUGAAAGUUUACAAUUGUACAAACAAGAAGCAACAGUUUGAUCUCACCCAAAGCAGAACUCAGUGGAUGUCUGACUUCUCCUGAAGACUUCUCCUCUAUAUCCCCACACCACAGAACAAGUGGUAAAAUGGCUACCUUGCUCCUCUUCUAUGCAGUAGUACUGUCUCCUCCACCAAAGCAUCUCCACAUCUCUCCAGCUGCGUACUCAAAGGCCGUGCUAUAAACAUAAGAAGAAGCAAAUUGUUUGGGCCGGAAUAAGUCUGGUGGAGGCCCAGGGCAAUGAAAGUGUGGGGGCUCCCACCACUGCAGAAGCAACAAAUCAUCCCCUACCUUCCCCCCCUCCCCCCCACACACACACACUCAAUGCACAGUACAGAGUACCUGGUUGUCACGGAACAGCGCAGAAGCAUCAGGCGGCUCACAGUCACUGUCACACUAUCCCACGACACUGACACAGAGGUGCUCCUCGGUGACCGCUGCUAAUAAACAGCUGAGCCGUUGGAGGGAGACUCUUCUGAUUGACAAUGCACUCUGUGGUGGCCCCUAAUAGUUGGGGCCCCCGGACAACUACCCCUGUUGCCCCUGCUUUAAUCCAGCCCUGCCUUCUCUCUCCCCACAACUGUGUCCAACACCGUAUAAAUGAAUCUGAUGAUGGUAGAAAUCCAGAGAAAAUGGAAUGUAUUGACUUCUAUGGACCCUGUGAAUCUAUUCAAUUUCAACAUAAGAAAGUCUGUCGUACCAUAUUGCGCCAACAAGAAUCAAUGAAGGCCAGCAUGUGGUAAUCUGUUACCCGCUUUCAUGUGCGUUCCCUUAAUUAUAGCUAGUAAUUAUGCUUGCAUGCUAAUCUAUUAGCAACUGUAUCUA